rnacentral:rRNA from 1 species
UGGGGAAUUUUGCACAAUGGGGGCAACCCUGAUGCAGCGACGCCGCGUGAUUUAGAAGGCCUUCGGGUUGUAAAAAUCUUUUGUAUGGGAAGAAAAUGACAGUACCAUACGAAUAAGGACCGGCUAAUUACGUGCCAGCAGCCGCGGUAAUACGUAAGGUCCGAGCGUUGUCCGGAAUCAUUGGGCGUAAAGGGUACGUAGGCGGAUAAGCAAGUUAGAAGUGAAAUCCUAUAGCUCAACUCUAGUAAGCUUUUAAACCUGCUCAUCUUGAGGUAUGGAAGGGAAAGUGGAAUUCCUAGUGUGGCGGUGAAAAGCGCAACAAUUCGGAGGAAUACCGGUGGCGAAGCCGACUUUCUGGCCAUAAACUGAAGCUAAGGUACGCAAGAAUGGGUAGCAAACAGG